GAUGAACGCUAGCUACAGGCUUAACACAUGCAAGUCGAGGGGAAACGAUAGAGAAAGCUUGCUUUUUCUAGGCGUCGACCGGCGCACGGGUGAGUAACGCGUAUCCAACCUGCCCAUCACUUGGGGAUAACCUUGCGAAAGUAAGACUAAUACCCAAUGAUAUCUCUAGAAGACAUCUGAAGGAGAUUAAAGAUUUAUCGGUGAUGGAUGGGGAUGCGUCUGAUUAGCUUGUCGGCGGGGUAACGGCCCACCAAGGCGACGAUCAGUAGGGGUUCUGAGAGGAAGGUCCCCCACAUUGGAACUGAGACACGGUCCAAACUCCUACGGGAGGCAGCAGUGAGGAAUAUUGGUCAAUGGGCGAGAGCCUGAACCAGCCAAGUAGCGUGCAGGAUGACGGCCCUAUGGGUUGUAAACUGCUUUUAUAAGGGAAUAAAGUGAGUCUCGUGAGGCUUUUUGCAUGUACCUUAUGAAUAAGGACCGGCUAAUUCCGUGCCAGCCGCCGCAGUAAAAC
rnacentral:rRNA from 1 species